UUGGAGGGCAAGUCUGGUGCCAGCAGCCGCGGUAAUUCCAGCUCCAAUAGCGUAUAUUAAAGUUGUUGCAGUUAAAAAGCUCGUAGUUGAAUUUCGGGAUCAAUGUUUCGGUCAUGCCGUUGGUAUGCACUGUUAUCAUUGAUUUCUCACCUUCUAAAGAACCGUAAUGCCAUUAAUUUGGUGUUACGGGGAAUUAGGACUGUUACCUUGAAAAAAUUAGAGUGUUUAAAGCAGGCUCACGCUUGAAUACAUUAGCAUGGAAUAAUGAAAUAGGACAUCCGAUUCUAUUUUGUUGGUUUCUAGGAUCGAUGUAAUGAUUAAUAGGGAUAGUUGGGGGCAUUAGUAUUCAAUUGUCAGAGGUGAAAUUCUUGGAUUUAUUGAAGACUAACUACUGCGAAAGCAUUUGCCAAGGAUGUUUUCAUUAAUCAAGAACGAAAGUUAGGGGAUCGAAGACGAUCAGAUACCGUCGUAGUCUUAACCAUAAACUAUGCCGACUAGGGAUCGGAUGAUGUUAAUUUUUUAAUGACUCAUUCGGCGCCUUACGGGAAAC
rnacentral:rRNA from 1 species